rnacentral:rRNA from 1 species
UACAGAGGUCUCAAGCGUUGUUCGGAUUCAUUGGGCGUAAAGGGUGCGUAGGCGGCGCGGUAAGUCGGGUGUGAAAUCUCGGAGCUUAACUCCGAAACUGCAUUCGAUACUGCCGUGCUUGAGGACUGGAGAGGAGACGUGGAAUUUACGGUGUAGCGGUGAAAUGCGUAGAUAUCGUAAGGAAGACCAGUGGCGAAGGCGGGUCACUGGA